UCCGAGUUGACCCCGGCAGUCUCCUGCGAGUCCCCGCCAUUACGCGCUGGCAACACAGGACAAGGGUUGCGCUCGUUGCGGGACUUAACCCAACAUCUCACGACACGAGCUGACGACAGCCAUGCACCACCUGUGCACGUGUCCCGAAGGAGGGCCCCUGUUUCCAGGGGCUUUCACGUGCAUGUCAAGCCCAGGUAAGGUGGGGAUGACGUUCGUCUGAC
rnacentral:misc_RNA from 1 species